rnacentral:tRNA from 1 species
GCAGAUGUACUCAAGAGGCCGAAGAGGCGCCCCUGCUAAGGGUGUAGGUCGGGAAACCGGCGCGAGGGUUCAAAUCCCUCCAUCUGCG